CGCUCAUGAACCUGUACUUCGCCCAGGUGAUUUUCAAAGCCAAGUCCAAAUACUCUCCAGAAUUACUCAAAUACCGGCUGCGGUGGGAACUGGUGGUAUGAGCGCACCUCCCCAGGAAGCGGGCAGAGGAGAGCCCAGGAUGCCUGCCGUGGCCGAAGAAGUGGAACCGGCGUCCUC